UACGGCGGGGGCUAGCGUUGUUCGGAAUUACUGGGCGUAAAGCGCACGUAGGCGUACAGUUAAGUCGGGGGUGAAAUCCCGGGGCUCAACCCCGGAACUGCCUUCGAUACUGGCUGUCUGGAGGUCGAGAGAGGUGAGUGGAAUUCCGAGUGUAGAGGUGAAAUUCGUAGAUAUUCGGAGGAACACCAGUGGCGAAGGUGGCUCUCUGGCUCGAUUCAGACGCUGAGGUGCGAAAGCGUGGGGAGGAAACAGG
rnacentral:rRNA from 1 species